rnacentral:rRNA from 1 species
GAGUUUGAUCGUGGCUCAGAUUGAACGCUGGCGGCAUGCCUUACACAUGCAAGUCGAACGGCAGCACGGGAGCUUGCUCCUGGUGGCGAGUGGCGAACGGGUGAGUAAUGCAUCGGAACGUAUCCUGGAGUGGGGGAUAACGUAGCGAAAGUUACGCUAAUACCGCAUAUUCUGUGAGCAGGAAAGCGGGGGACCUUCGGGCCUCGCGCUCUUGGAGCGGCCGAUGUCGGAUUAGCUAGUUGGUGAGGUAAAGGCUCACCAAGGCGACGAUCCGUAGCAGGUCUGAGAGGAUGAUCUGCCACACUGGAACUGAGACACGGUCCAGACUCCUACGGGAGGCAGCAGUGGGGAAUUUUGGACAAGUGGGGUCAACCCUGAUCCAGCCAUGCCGCGUGAGUGAAGAAGGC